ACAGAGAUAUAUGGCUAUGGGUAUGAUUACAAAUAGAAGAUGGAAACAUAUCAGAAGCCCUUAUCUACUUGUGUUUUCCAUCACAAAUUCUUCCAUGUUGUUACUCUUCGAAUUCUUGGAGUCUUAAUGAAAAGAAAGAACACUAGAAUUUGGAAUAAUUUUUAAAUUGACGACAGCAAGCGAUCGUGAAUGUAAUUGUUAACCUGAUUUUGCUAUAAGUGUUUGUACUCAAUAAAACGCUACAAUUGUCGUCAAAACAAACGACUUGAAAAUGCAUCCUUCUUCGAGACAGGAAAAUUCAUUAGAUUCCUACUUCAGUGCAUAGGUGAACGGUGAAUCAGAUAGAGAUGACAUUCGGUAUGAAUGGCUGCGCUUGAGAUCAUUUUCGACUUUUCCACUGACUUCCACUUCACACAGUCCGGUUCGGCUUGCUCGCUCUGGAUUUUACUACACUGGAAGAAACCAAGAAUGUGUUUGUUUUUCCUGUGGAGUGCAUAACUCUGAUUGGACAGGGUCCAGUGUUACAGAUAUACAUACACGACUAAGUUCAGAGUGUCGUCAUUUAAACGGACAUGACGUCACGAACAUUCCUAUUGGAUCUAACAACAGCAGUCAAUCCAGUCAUUUGCUUUCCGAGUCUAGUAAAAGAAAGUCAAGCAAUAAAAAUGCAGAGCAAAGAGUAUUGGAAAACGGAAACGGGAGCCAAAACACUACUAACACUCAGUGUCAAGCUCCUAAUCAAAACCAGAGACCAUCUAUUCUGCGGUCCAACCAUGUGAGAGAAAUGUUGGAGCCUCUUGGAAUAAAUUUCGACAGGCCAAAGUAUCCAAGCUACUCCGUUUUGGCAACAAGAAUCAGUAGCUAUCAACAAUGGCCUUCAUAUUUGACUCAAACUCCAAGGGAACUUAGCAUUGCUGGUUUCUUUUAUGUUGGAUAUGGCGACUAUGUUAGAUGUUUUUUCUGCGGAGGUGGGCUGCGAAAUUGGGAGUCAGGUGACGAUGCAUGGGUGGAACACGCCAGAUGGUUUCAAAAAUGUUCUUUUUUGCUCCAGAAUCGCGGAGUAGAUUUCGUCAUACUCGUGCAAAGCGUCCAAAACGAACAAGCAGAGACUACUUUGACAGAAAAUCUCCCAUCAUCCCUUGAUAUUGAGCAGCUUCCUGCUGCUGUAAAGGUUCAUGAAAUGGGUUACUCAUGGGAGACUAUCAAAGCAACAUAUAUUCAGCUAAAUAAGCCAGUCUCAGAAACAGUUACAGUAGAAGAGCUAAUAGAUGAAAUUCUGGCCAAUAAAGUCACAGCAACAAAUCCGUCCGAGGGGAACAGUCAGGACAUUGAGACGAACUCUCAAAGUCCAUUUCUUCCAGCAGAUGAAGAGGAACCAGGUAGAACAUAUACUGCAAAGUCUACAGCUAAUGCCGAUCUGUCGAAUGAGCUGAAAUCACUGAGUCUAAAAGAUGAAACAGAAGUUCUGUUGGAUGAAAAUAGACGUCUCAAAGAGCAAAGACUAUGUAGGAUAUGCAUGGAGGAAGAUAUAACUAUUGCCUUUCUGCCAUGUGGACACUUGUGUUGUUGUGCCCACUGCGCACCUGCGAUGCGCAAAUGUCCAAUCUGCAGAGCAUUUAUCAAGGGGACAGUGAAAACCUACCCAGCUUGAUUUAUUUGUUUAUGAAUCGGUUUAAUCACCGAACUUAAAUACAUUGACAUACACAGGUAUCGUUAACAUAAUAAUGCUGGGUUUUUAAAACUCAGAUGUACAUAUUUUGAUCAUAAAAAUUAUAUCUGAUUGUUUUAGCAAAACAAAUUUUUGGCAGUAAAAUCUAUUUUCUUUUAUAUUAUUCGUUCUGUUCGGUGUUAUGUUCGGUGAUAAUCAUAAAAAAUAUAUAACAUAUAUGCUUUUAGUUUGUUUGUGGUUCUCCCAAUGGUUUGAUUUAUGUUAAUAAUUUUGGUGAAAGUUUUAUCUGUCAAUUAUAAUAGUUUGUGUAUUUGAAGAUGUUGGUUCGUAUUUUUCAAACAUUAUAAUUUAAUCAUAUAACUGAAUUCAAUCAUUUUUGCUAAUCUGUGUAUUCAUUAUGACAGUUUCAUAAUUCAAUGGGAAGUAGACACACUUUGUAUAUAUAAAUUGUCGAAAAUGCGUGUGCUGUGCUUAUAACUUUAACUGGUAUUGUUGUCUGCAAUUUUGUAUUUUGUAUUUAUUGCUAAAAAUAGAAGGUAUCCUUCAAAACGAUGAUGUACAUCAAAGCAUUUAUACUGUAGUUUGUUUGAAUAAAAAUUAAACAGAGUUC
rnacentral:misc_RNA from 1 species